GGAUGUUUGUCUCGCGUCUUCUUUCUUUCCCAGUGAUGUUAUGAUGAUAUAUGGAUUUUAGUAGAAUAUUUUUCCAGAUUAUGAAUAAUUACAAAUGUAGCCCAGUCCAUUAACCUAUACAAUGCAAGAUGUGGUGGUCUCUUUAUUAUGGAGGCACCCUAAUAGUGGGCCACCAUCGCAUUUCCUAUGAAGGGACGGACAGUUACAACCAUGCCUUCUCCGGGAUUCGAACCCAGGCCCUUUGGCAUCGCAGUCAGCUUCCUUGACCACUAUACUGCCUGGGCGGCUAUAACAUAGUGAGGUUUAACCAGCAAUUUUCAUAACUGUCAUAGUUUACUUAUCAAUUUGUAAGCAACUAACAAAUCUUGUGAUCUGAGGUUUCACUGUGUGCACCCUUUUAUAUGUGCAAAAUUUAUGUUACCUGAAAUAUGGUAUAGGAAUUCAAAAUUACAUUUUGGAUACAUUUAACUAAGUAUUUGUAGAAAAACAUUUGUUUAAUAAAAAGAUUAUUUUUCUAUUAA